GUCAGGAAAAGACUGCGCUGAAGGCCGAAGAGGCCUGAGAAGCGCAGGGUGUGAUAGCAAGGCAGAGAUAGGCCUACCAGGCAACUCUGGGGGGUGGGCACAGAAAUGGGGGUGCUGCUUGAGGAUGACCCUUACCCCAAGUGACUGGACUGACUUUUCCUGGAACCUACUUUUGGCAUAAGGAUGACACCUGACCAAAUGAGUCACAGUGGUCAGGGCUCUUCUGUUCUACUGUUAAUGUGCAUUUGGAUGGGAAUACUGAGGUGGAAGAGGAUCAAACUCAUUCAGCCUCCUCCCAGUCAACUCCCUCAACCCUCAGCCCUGCAGCCAGGUGCUGCCUGAAUGCUCUGGGGGAACCUAUGGCCUGUGUCUCACAGAGAAGGGUUAUGGAUCGGGCUGCUUGGAACAUAUUGAAGGGAGUAUAGACUGGCUCAGGACUGGGAAAAGUCUUUCCGGUGGAACCUGCA